GGGUCAGUAGGUUGGUCGUGCCACCGGUACGUACUGGUCUCGCUGAUUCCUCCUUCCUGAAGAACCGUAAUGCCAUUAAUUUGGUGUUGCGGGGAAACAGGACUGUUACUUUGAAAAAAUUAGAGUGUUUAAAGCAAGCUAACGCUUGAAUACAUUAGCAUGGAAUAAUGAAAUAGGACAAUCGAUCCUAUUUUGUUGGUUUCUAGGAUUGACGUA
rnacentral:rRNA from 1 species